UACGUAGGGGGCAAGCGUUGUCCGGAAUCAUUGGGCGUAAAGAGCGCGUAGGCGGUCCGGUAAGUCCGCUCUGAAAGUCCGGGGCUCAACCCCGGGAGGCGGGCGGAUACUGUCGGGCUAGAGUCCGGAAGAGGCGAGUGGAAUUCCUGGUGUAGCGGUGAAAUGCGCAGAUAUCAGGAGGAACACCUGCGGCGAAGGCGGGUUGCUGGGCUGACACUGACGCUGAUGCGCGAAAGCUAGGGGAGCGAAGCGGG
rnacentral:rRNA from 1 species